rnacentral:rRNA from 1 species
CCGCCGGCGACCGGCGCACGGGUGAGUAACACGUAUGCAACCUGGCCGUGACAGAUGGAUAACCGGGAGAAAUCCCGCCUAAUACAGCAUGACGCCGGGAAGGGACAUCCCUUUCCGGCCAAAGGGGGCGGCUCCGGUCACGGAUGGGCAUGCGGCGCAUUAGGUAGUUGGUGGGGCAACGGCCCACCAAGCCGACGAUGCGUAGGGGUUCUGAGAGGAAGGUCCCCCACAUUGGAACUGAGACACGGUCCAAACUCCUACGGGAGGCAGCAG